UUAGUUUGGCAUGACUGAGAAGCACCCAAGCGGAGUAAGGAAGGGUGUGUCGGCUGCAGCCAGGCGGCAGUUCUGGUACUUCUCAGUCAUGACAUUUGGGGUCAGGUAAGUGUUCCCUGACAUGAAUGAAUAGAAAAUCAAGGAAAAAUUAAGAGGAAAAAUCAUGGAAGGCACAUGAUGGACCAGGUUCAUUUCUGCAAGGCAGGGUGAGAAGGUCUACAUCUUCAGAUGCUUAGGAGAAAUACGACUCCAUAUGUAAAGUCCACCAAGGUGUUCAGUGAACAAAAGCUGCACCUAUUGCUUAAGAAGAAGAAAAGAAACUCUUCUGUGGCUUCACAUCUCCACACUGACAAAGUUUUGAUGCUCCUCGUUCUGUGCAU
rnacentral:lncRNA from 1 species